AUCAACUUUCGAUGGUAGGAUAGAGGCCUACCAUGGUGGUAACGGGUAACGGGGUGUUAGGGCACGACACCGGAGAGGGAGCCUGAGAAACGGCUACCACAUCCAAGGAUGGCAGCAGGCGCGCAAAUUACCCAAUCCCGACACGGGGAGGUAGUGACAAUAAAUAACAAUACGGGGUUCUUUAGGAUCUCGUAAUUGGAAUGAGUACAAUUUAAAUCUCUUAACGAGGAACAAUUGGAGGGCAAGUCUGGUGCCAGCAGCCGCGGUAAUUCCAGCUCCAAUAGCGUAUAUUAAAGUUGUUGCAGUUAAAAAGCUCGUAGUUGAAUUUCGGGGUCAGUAGGCUGGUCAUGCCACAGGUAUGUACUGGUCUCACUGAUUCCUCCUUCCUGAUGAACCGUAAUGCCAUUAAUUUGGUGUUGCGGGGAAACUGGACUGUUACUUUGAAAAAAUUAGAGUGUUUAAAGCAGGCUAACGCUUGAAUACAUUAGCAUGGAAUAAUGAAAUAGGACGUUCGAUCCUAUUUUGUUGGUUUCUAGGAUUGACGUAAUGAUUAAUAGGGAUAGUUGGGGGCAUUAGUAUUCAAUUGUCAGAGGUGAAAUUCUUGGAUUUAUUGAAGACUAACUACUGCGAAAGCAUUUGCCAAGGAUGUUUUCAUUAAUCAAGAACGAAAGUUAGGGGAUCGAAGACGAUCAGAUACCGUCGUAGUCUUAACCAUAAACUAUGCCGACUAGGGAUCGGAUGAUGUUAUUUUUAAUGACUCAUUCGGCGCCUUACGGGAAACCAAAGUGUUUGGGUUC
rnacentral:rRNA from 1 species